GCUGGAUGCGCUGACCGAGAUAAAGGUGGAGAAAAGGAACACAGAGAAAUAUCCCUUCCUGACAACCUGUCUCAGUGACAGCGCCCAUUCCAGAACAAGAAAGAGGAACAAAGAGCACUGAGGAAUUCAUUUCAGAAAAUGCAAUGGAUGGACAGUGUGUCUUAUUAGAUCCAUUUAUAAUUUGUUAAGUGAUCACAACAAUUAUAAAUAUUUUUGAAGUAAAAAGUUUUACAUUUUACUAAUAUGACCAGGAAAAAUUUGUGUUCACAGAAGAAUUUACAGAGGAUUGUACAGGUAUAAUAAUUUCUUUCCUUAACAAAUUUGAAGAAAUGAUGAGAUGAAUUAUAAAUAUGUUGCAGUAUGGCAAUAAAAUAUUUAGCAGAUGCUGGUGGAUUAGAUGAAAAGUAAAAACUUUCAAAACAAUGAUGCUUAGGCUUUGCGUUUUGUUUUUUAAAUUUUAUAGAUGUUAAAAAUACUGGAUGCUAC